AAAAAAAAACUAGAUUUGCCAUUGCAAGCAAUAGCGGAUGGCACCCUUCCCACAUUGCCAGGCGAGCGGCAGCAAUCUAGAAAAUUCCAAAGUCAAAGUGUGCAUCUACACAUUCAAAUUAUCAUAUUUGUUAAGUUUCAUUAAGUUUGGAGCAUUUUGAAGUUUUUGACAUUUUUGCUGUUUCCAUGGUUACGGCGGCCAUUUUGAAAAUUCCAACUUCAAAUGUCAACUUUGCUUAUGCCAGUGACCAUUCCUGUAAAGUUUCAUCCAGUUUACAGCAUUUUUAUUUUUUUUGAAAUUUUUUGACCUUUUUGCAUUGUUUCCAUGGUAACAACAGAUAUUUUGGAAAUUCCAACGCCAAAUUCCACAUCUUCCAAUGUUGCUCAUCGUUACUGUGAAGUUUCAUGAAGUUUGGAGCAUUUUGAUAUUUUUGAAAUUUUUGGUAUAGUUUCCAUGGCAACAUAGUAGUUCCAAUGAGUGCCAAAAUCAUCCAACACCUGUAUAUGGCCGGCACCUACAUUGUAUCAAAAUAUAAUGGUUCUGAGUUUAAGCAUAUCAAAACAGUUCACCAAAACAAAAAACAGGAUUUUUUCACAUUUGUUUCGUUUCCAUGGCAACGGCAGCCAUCUUGAUGGUGCCAUACCCCACUGCACUAUAGAAUGUGGUGGUCUACAUUAUGGUAUAGUUCCAUCAAUAUUGUUCAAGCCAAUUCCGAGAAAUAGAAUGGACAAAAAAGUGUGGAAGAAUAAAAAUAAUAAUAAUAAUAACUAGAUUUGCCAUUGCAAGCAAUAGCGGA
rnacentral:lncRNA from 1 species